rnacentral:rRNA from 1 species
GACGAACGCUGGCGGCGUGCCUAAUACAUGCAAGUUGAGCGCUGAAGGUUGGUACUUGUACCAACUGGAUGAGCAGCGAACGGGUGAGUAACGCGUGGGGAAUCUGCCUUUGAGCGGGGGACAACAUUUGGAAACGAAUGCUAAUACCGCAUAAAAACUUUAAACACAAGUUUUAAGUUUGAAAGAUGCAAUUGCAUCACUCAAAGAUGAUCCCGCGUUGUAUUAGCUAGUUGGUGAGGUAAAGGCUCACCAAGGCGAAGAUACAUAGCCGACCUGAGAGGGUGGUCGGCCACAUUGGGACUGAGACCCGGCCCAAACUCCUACGGGAGGCAGCAGUAGGGAAUCUUCGGCAAUGGACGAAAGUCUGACCGAGCAACGCCGCGUGAGUGAAGAAGGGUUUCGGAUCGUAAAACUCUGUUGGUAGGGAAGAACGUUGGUGAGAGUGGAAAGCUCAUCAAGUGACGGUAACUACCCAGAAAGGGACGGCUAACUACGUG